UGGGGAAUAUUGCGCAAUGGGCGAAAGCCUGACGCAGCAACGCCGCGUGGGUGACGAAGGCCUUCGGGUUGUAAAGCCCUGUCGCCUGGGAAGAACAAGUCGGUUAACAACCGGCCUUGACGGUACCAGGAAAGGAAGCACCGGCUAACUCUGUGCCAGCAGCCGCGGUAAUACAGAGGGUGCAAGCGUUGUUCGGAAUUAUUGGGCGUAAAGGGCGCGUAGGCGGCAUCGUAUGUCCGGUGUGAAAUCCCACCUCUUAAAGGUGGAAGUGCGCUGGAAACUGCGAAGCUUGAGUGCCGGAGAGGGUAGUGGAAUUCCCGGUGUAGAGGUGAAAUUCGUAGAUAUCGGGAGGAACACCAGUGGCGAAGGCGGCUACCUGGACGGACACUGACGCUGAGGCGCGAAAGCGUGGGGAGCAAACAGG
rnacentral:rRNA from 1 species